AGGAAGGUGGCGGCCAGGGAUGAGGAGGCCCCUAAGCAAGUGCGGAAUGGAGCCGGGGGGCGGAGAUGCCAGCCUCACUUUGCAUGGUCUCCAGAACCGCUCCCACGGCAAGAUAAAGCUGCGAAAGAGAAAGUCUACCUUGUACUUCAACACCCAGGAGAAGAGCGCCAGGCGCCGCGGGGAUUUGGAUUCCUAGACUUGCCCAAGCACUUCUGUCUGCUGUAGCAGAUGUGAGACUUUACUCAUUAAUGAAGCAACUAGAAAAUCAGGAAGUGGCAAGAUGGGUGUUUUUUUGCCAGUUGUGCUCCUGGUUCACAUGGUAUUGCUGUACCAGAACCCUUACAAACACCAUGGAAACUGUUCUCACUAUAAUUGCUCUUUUCUACUAUCCUUUGGAAGGUUCAAAGUCUAUGAACAGUGUCAAAUACUCAUCCCUGGUGGCACUUGCCUUCAUAAUUCGUCCCACAGCUGUCAUUCUGUGGACACCUUUGCUCUUCAGACAUUUCUGUCAAGAACCAAGAAAGCUUGAUCUUAUUCUACAUCAUUUUUUACCUGUAGGCUUUGUUACUUUGAGUUUGUCUC
rnacentral:lncRNA from 10 species